CAGCAGUCGCCGCGGGAAUACGAAGGGUGCAAGCGUUAAUCGGAAUUACUGGGCGUAAAGCGUGCGUAGGCGGUUUGUUAAGUCUGCUGUGAAAUCCCCGGGCUCAACCUGGGAAUGGCAGUGGAUACUGGCAAGCUAGAGUGUGUCAGAGGAUGGUGGAAUUCCCGGUGUAGCGGUGAAAUGCGUAGAGAUCGGGAGGAACAUCAGUGGCGAAGGCGGCCAUCUGGGACAACACUGACGCUGAGGCACGAAAGCGUGGGGAGCAAACAGGAUUAGAGACCCCCGUAGUCCCUGUCUCUUAUAC
rnacentral:rRNA from 1 species